rnacentral:rRNA from 1 species
CCUAACACAUGCAAGUCGAACGGUAACAGGAAGAAGCUUGCUUCUUUGCUGACGAGUGGCGGACGGGUGAGUAAUGUCUGGGAAACUGCCUGAUGGAGGGGGAUAACUACUGGAAACGGUAGCUAAUACCGCAUAACGUCGCAAGACCAAAGAGGGGGACCUUCGGGCCUCUUGCCAUCGGAUGUGCCCAGAUGGGAUUAGCUAGUAGGUGGGGUAACGGCUCACCUAGGCGACGAUCCCUAGCUGGUCUGAGAGGAUGACCAGCCACACUGGAACUGAGACACGGUCCAGACUCCUACGGGAGGCAGCAGUGGGGAAUAUUGCACAAUGGGCGCAAGCCUGAUGCAGCCAUGCCGCGUGUAUGAAGAAGGCCUUCGGGUUGUAAAGUACUUUCAGCGGGGAGGAAGGGAGUAAAGUUAAUACCUUUGCUCAUUGACGUUACCCGCAGAAGAAGCACCGGCUAACUCCGUGCCAGCAGCCGCGGUAAUACGGAGGGUGCAAGCGUUAAUCGGAAUUACUGGGCGU